rnacentral:rRNA from 1 species
CGCCGCCGCGGUAAUACGGAGGAUCCGAGCGUUAUCCGGAAUUAUUGGGUUUAAAGGGUGCGUAGGCGGAUAGAUAAGUCAGUGGUGAAAGACGGUGGCUCAACCAUCGCAGUGCCGUUGAUACUGUUUAUCUUGAAUAUGGAUGAGGUAGGCGGAAUGUGGCAAGUAGCGGUGAAAUGCAUAGAUAUGCCACAGAACACCGAUUGCGAAGGCAGCUUACCAAGGCAAAAUUGACGCUGAGGCACGAAAGCGUGGGGAUCGAACAGGAUUAGAUACCCCGGUAGUCCCUGUCUCUUAUACC